rnacentral:rRNA from 1 species
AGAGUUUGAUUCUGGCUCAGAUUGAACGCUGGCGGCGUGCCUAACACAUGCAAGUCGAACGUGAAAGUUCCUUCGGGAGCGAGUAAAGUGGCGCACGGGUGAGUAACACGUGGAUAAUCUACCGGGAAGUUGGGGAUAACGACUGGAAACGGUCGCUAAUACCGAAUACGCUGUUCUAUUUGUUUAGGACAGGAAAGGAGGCCUCUGCAUAUGCUUCCGCUUUUCGAUGAGUCCGCGUCCCAUUAGCUAGUUGGCGGGGUAAAGGCCCACCAAGGCGACGAUGGGUAGCCGGUCUGAGAGGAUGACCGGCCACACUGGAACUGGAACACGGUCCAGACUCCUACGGGAGGCAGCAGUGGGGAAUAUUGCGCAAUGGGCGAAAGCCUGACGCAGCGACGCCGCGUGAGGGAUGAAGGUUCUCGGAUCGUAAACCUCUGUCAGGGGGGAAGAAACCCCCUCGUGUGAAUAAUGCGAGGGCUUGACGGUACCCCCAAAGGAAGCACCGGCUAACUCCGUGCCAGCAGCCGCGGUAAUACGGAGGGUGCAAGCGUUAAUCGGAAUCACUGGGCGUAAAGCGCACGUAGGCGGCCCGGUAAGUCAGGGGUGAAAUCCCACAGCCCAACUGUGGAACUGCCCUUGAUACUGCCGGGCUUGAGUACCGGAGAGGGUGGCGGAAUUCCAGGUGUAGGAGUGAAAUCCGUAGAUAUCUGGAGGAACACCGGUGGCGAAGGCGGCCACCUGGACGGUAACUGACGCUGAGGUGCGAAAGCGUGGGUAGCAAACAGGAUUAGAUACCCUGGUAGUCCACGCCGUAAACGAUGGGUGCUGGGUGCUGGGCUGUAUGUCUCGGUGCCGUAGCCAACGCGAUAAGCACCCCGCCCGGGGAGUACGGUCGCAA